rnacentral:rRNA from 1 species
UACGAAGGGGGCAAGCGUUGUUCGGAAUUACUGGGCGUAAAGGGCGCGUAGGCGGGCUGUCAAGUCGGUGGUGAAAUCUUUCAGCUUAACUGGAAAAUGGCCUUCGAUACUGGCGGUCUGGAGGAAGGUAGGGGCAUGCGGAACUUCCGGUGGAGCGGUGAAAUGCGUAGAUAUCGGAAGGAACACCGAUGGCGAAAGCAGCGUGCUGGACCUUUUCUGACGCUGAGGCGCGAAAGCCAGGGGAGCAAACGGGG